AAAGAAAAAGAAAAAGAAAGCGGAGGCUUUCCACUUUCAACUUUCAAGUCUCUCAACGGGAACUCUCUUGUUUUUAAUGAGGGACGCCAUAGCCAUCUUAGCUUCCUGCUCUGUUACUCUCCCUGCGACUCAUGCUCCGGCUCCUCCCUCCCACCACCGCCGCCGCCGAUGCCGCCCGUCUCCUCGCACUAACCAAUCGCUUAAUUCCACUGCUCCUUCACUUCACUCCACGGUACGAUGGGAUUAUGCUUCCACUUCCCGCAAUCGCAAUCGCAAACGCCUCGAGUAUUACACCGACCUAACCUCCAACCUCGCCCGAGAUGGAAGAUUCCGAGACUUGUUCAUGAUUGCCGAAAGCUUCGUAGUUUCAGGCGGGAAGCCUUCUCAAUUUGUGGCCUUGCUCGAUGUCAAUAUUGUUUCUGCUGGGAUUUCUAGAAUGAUUAAGGAUGGAAGGCUCGGGAGCUUGAUUGAGGUGUUAGGUGGUCUGAGGAAGCUAGGAUUCGCUGUGGUUGAGCUCUUUGACGGACUCGCAGUUGAGGCACUUCGGCAGGUGUGUCGUCGUCAGCUAGGGAAACGUGAUGACGUGGAGGAGAUUGUGAGCUUGUUGGAAACACUUCAAGGGCUUGGUUUUUCUACUAAAGAAUUCGUUGCGCCCUCCGAAAUCAUAAGGCUUUGCGUUUACAGAAGAACCCCAAGUGCUGCUAUAAGGUAUGCACAAAUUUUUCCGCAGGUACAUACGCUUUUGUGUACCAUAAUGAUUGAAUUUGGGAAGAAAAGGGACUUGGUAUCUGCACUCAGUGUUUUUGAAGUCUCCAAGCAGAAUCAAGGCUGUCCCAACAUGUAUGCCUACCGAACAAUCAUUGAUGUUUGUGGACUCUGUGGGGAUUAUUUGAAGUCUAGAUCUAUUUAUGAGGAGCUACUUGACUGUAAGUUCAUCCCAAAUAUUUAUGUUUUCAACAGUCUCAUGAACGUUAAUGCCAGUGAUUUCAGCUACAUGUUACAUAUCUAUAAGCAGAUGCAAAAAGUAGGUGUGACAGCUGAUCUGGCAUCAUAUAAUAUCCUUUUGAAGUCUUGCUGUCUUGCUGCAAGAGCUCAUCUGGCCCUAGACAUUUACAGAGAUGUUCAACAUUUGGAAUCAAAAGGGGCUCUAAAAUUGGAUGUGUUUACUUACUGUACAAUGAUCAAGGUCCUUGCAGAUGCUAGAAUGUGGAGAAUGGCACUGGAAAUAAAAGAACAUAUGCUGCUAGCUGGUGUUAUUCCCAACACUGUAACGUGGUCAUCAUUGAUCAGUGCAUGUGCCAAUGCAGGUCUUGCAGAGCAAGCAAUUCAAUUGUUUGAAGAGAUGCUUCAGGCUGGUUGUGAGCCUAAUUCACAGUGUUGCAAUGCUCUUCUUCAUGCUUGUGUUGAAGCUCACCAAUAUGAUAGAGCCUUUCGACUCUUCAAGUCCUGGAAGGAAAACGGUAUUAAGAUGUCUGUAAGAAAAGAUUUUCAUUGGAUGAACAAAAUAAAUGAUUAUGCUUGCAGCAAGCAUGAAAAUUCCAGUACAAUAACAUGUAGAACCUCUGACUCAGAGCAUCCAUCCUUUCCGAUAAGGUUUUCAUUUGCACCCACAACUUCAACAUAUAAUAUUUUGAUGAAGGCCUGUGGCACUGAUUACUACCAUGCCAAAGCAUUGAUGGAUGAGAUGAAGAUGGAAGGUCUUUCUCCGAAUAACAUAACAUGGUCCAUUUUGAUUGAUAUUUGUGGAGGCUCAGGAAAUGUACAUGGUGCUUUGCAGAUCUUAAGGUCCAUGCACCAGGCUGGUACUCAACCUGAUGUUGUCACAUAUACAACAGCUAUUAAGAUUUGCGUGGAACACAAAAAUAUCAAAGUUGCAUUUUCAUUACUUGCAGAAAUGAAAAGAUAUCAAAUAAAACCUAAUCUGGUGACAUAUAAUACUCUUCUCAGGGCUAGGAGCCAGUAUGGUUCCCUGCAGGAGGUACAACAAUGCCUAGCAAUAUAUCAGGAUAUGCGAAAAGCAGGGUAUAAACCUAAUGAUUUCUAUCUGAAACUGCUAAUUGAGGAGUGGUGUGAAGGUGUAAUACAACAAAACAAACAGAAUAAAGGCCAGAUUGCUUCCGACAGAGCUUCUUUAGGGCCUCAGAGUCUGCUUCUUGAGAAAGUUGCAGAGCACUUGCAGGACAGUAAUGCUGAAAGCCUGUCGAUUGACAUUCGGGGCCUCACUAAGGCUGCUCAUUUAUUUAAUCGAGUCUUCCAUGCAAUGCAUUGACAGAUUGAAGCUCGCAUUAUGGUUCUUGCAGUUCUACGGAUGAUCAAAGAGAAGUAUAAUCCAGGAGAUUCAGUGAGAGAUGAUCUGUUGAUUAUACUAGAAGAGGAGCCGUCGGGAUGUGGUUCCAGACACGAAACUGGGUCUACUGAAGCAAUAGCUAGCUUGUUGCAGUACGAUUUGGGGCUUGAGGUUCUAUCAGUAGGGUCAGUAGAUGGUAGAAACUUUAACGGUGGUUUUGAUAUUUCCUUUCUGUAUCCUAAUUCAAAAGUUCUACAAAGAAGAGAUCUGCCACUGAAAUUGGAAUCUCCUUCUAGAAGGCCUGUACCUUUACAGCGAUUGAAGGUAACUAAGGGAUCAUUGCAUCAUUGGUUACAAAAAGGAGGUGCUUCUACCAGCAGAUCAGACUCAUCUCCUUCUGCAGAGAAGUGAACUGAAGAACUGAUAAAGUUAUCAAGUUUGUAGCAGUUAUCAUUCUUUUAUUCUUUGUAUAGAGUUGUAGAUCAGUGUUCUAUUUCUCACAAUAAGGUUGUAGAUAAAGGUGAAGUUGCAUUUCACUCAAAUCAAAUGUAUUUGACUGAGACUGACUACAAAUGUACCAUCAGUAAAGGCAAAAUUUAGAAAUGGAUACAUAGAGAAAAUCACAUGCUAC